GAGAAACUCGACAAAAGUAGAGAGAGAGGAUGGGGGCGAGGACCAAUUUCUACAAGAAUCCUUCGUUCGCUUACAAAGGAGACUUCAAUCUCUCCUCCGCUCUUCGAAACCUCAAAGCAUGACUGGAAGCGCCUCCUUGAAUGAUGGAGAACCUUCGAACAACGAGAAUGCCGAGCGCCGCCGCCGCCGGGACUCUGGAGCGCCACGUGGCCGGAGCAGCGUCGCCGUGGAGGACAAUCGGCCGAUGUCACUCGAGGAAAACGUCCAAAAGAGGAGGCAAUUGUGGAUUUUUCUUUCCCGAUGCUUAUGAAGACGCCAGCUUUGUAGUAUCUCUGUUCUUACCGUGUCGAAUUUAUUGAGCAGGAGAGAAACGAGCGCGGGUCAGGUUUAUCAGGAAUUGACUCCUGAUGUUCUGGGGGCUUCGAGUUCGGGUUUGAACUUAGUUGACUACGCAAGUAAUAUUGUUGAAGGCGACCAAACCAAUGGAAAAGUAAUCUAGGUAAGAUUAGAAGUGAGCAAAGAUUUCCCUGCCUGGAGAACCAGUUUGCCUGGUGUGUGGCAAAUAUGGAGAAUAUUUUUGCGAUGAGACUGAUGAUGAUAUCUGCAGCUUGGAGUGCAAAGCGGUGCUUUUACGAACUCUUAAAUUUAAAGAGGAUCCCUUGAGCAACCAAAGUCCGGUCACGGCUUCAGCUGAGUUUGUUUCUGGAUUAUCUGUGCCUGAAGAAGAAAAUGAUGCUUGGGAUUAUGUUUGGCACUGGUGGUCCAAUAGGAAAUCCAGUCUCUCCACUUAUCUAUGUACUACCCGUCAGAGGCCUGGGCACCUUGCUGAAGAUUGCUUGGUUGCAGCUGGACAAAACAAAUCAACUUCCAUACCCAAAGAUCUUCUGGGACUUUAUAGAAGGUUUCAAGAAUUCUGAAUCUGUCUCAUCUUGUUCCCCUGUUAUUAUAGUUCUUCAGCUAUUCACACCCUUGGUGUAUAUUAAGGGUCGCACAAAUUUGUUUCUAAAAUUUUAUGUCAACUGCUGUGGAAACACUCAAUUCCUCUCUUCUUUUUCUAUUGCUUUAUGCUCAUCCACGCAUCGUUCGGCGACUCGCCUUGAUUGUAAUAGAGUAAUAUGUGAUGGGUAAGUGCCUGUUAUUGGUUAAAUUACUCUAGCAUCAUGGGUUGCCUUUGCUGCUUGAGGCAUCAGUUUGCUUGUUCAGCAACUAUUUGAGUGGCAUUAGGGGACGAGUUUCUGGCUGGUACAAUAUUUAUUUCUUUUGUGGGGGUAUGUUCUGUCUUCUUCAAGUCACAUUUCUUUUAAUGUUUUUGCUGUUGAUAUUACUUUAAACUGGUGUUUUAGGGGUUGGGGAGCCUUUAAUUCCAUUUUCACUUAUUAUUACUCUGCUUUGGGACAUUUGACGAGGAUCUGGUUGGUACUGAACCUAUGGGCAGUAUUAGCGACUUCCAUUGAUUUCUAUAAGGGGAAGUUUGUAGGUUGGGUAGCAUAUGGCAGGAUAAGGAUGCUUAUGGGGAGAAUGGUCAUGUUAUGUUAGUACACUUCAUUUUAAAUCAAAUAUUGUUGACAGUGGUGACUGAAGUAAUAGAAUUCACAGUAAUUUAGGAGAUUGAUUCAUUCUGAAGCCCCAUAGAGUGUAUUGACAUACAUUUUUUAAGUAUUUUAUGCCCUCACAUGGAGGAUUUCUCAGUGCAGGUCAUUUGGAUGAGUACAUUAGAAUGAAUUCCUCUCACUGACGUUAUUAUUCUCACAAGCUCAAGCGUUUGGUUAGGAUUUACUUGCUCCUUCGUCUAGUCUAGUUGCGACGAUAUCUAUAUCAGUUAGUUUAUUGAUGACAUGUUAAAUUUGUAUUUGUAAGUUAGCCAUUUGGAAGAUAUUUUAGAUUCUCUCGAAAGAGUGACUCCCAUGUUAUAAAUAAACCAAUGAUGUAAAUGAUGUGCCUGCUUCAUUGAACAAGUAGUUUGAGAUAAGUCACUUCAGAUUGUAAUCCUUCACACUGCACAAAAUGAUUAAAAAAAUGUGCUGCUUCAUUAAACAAGUAGUCCUGACAUAGGUCGCCUUGAGAUCCUAUUUCUUUGCAUUGCACAAAUCCAGUCUUUCAGAUUACUUCCUUUCUUUUUUGCAGGUGAAAUGCAGUAAAGCAACAUGCAAAAUGACAGACAUAUCUGAUAUUUUGGGUUGCCAUUACUGUUUUCACAAAUUCUAUGAAAUGUGUACCGCAAGUUGGAAAGGAGCAGGACUUGCAAUUAUAAGAAGGUCUAUUAGCUGCGAAGAUCAUUUUUCAUGGACCUGUCGACAAAACCAGGCAUGAGAAUGAAUUUUCUGAAUGCCGGUGCAGAAGAUAGUGCGUAUAUUGUGAGUAGGCAUCCUCAAAGGAGCAAGCAUGUUCAGAUCAGCGAAUUCAUUUUCUUAUCCUUGGCGGGGGAGAAACCAGGCAUCGGUCCCUGUACAGCUAUUUAUGGUGAGAAAGAGAGAGCUGCCAGUGCGACUUUCAGGAUCCUGGGUUUUCAAGUCCAGAAGCAGCGUCGUCGAUGGAAGAAUGUGAUCUGACUAGUUGGUCAGCUAGAAUCGCAAUCUCCGACUUGUAUAGUUGUUCUUCGCCGCCUAUUGGUUUGUAGGAUGCUAGCUAUGGAGUGUAGGGACUUCAUGUUUCCCAGUUGAUUAAACCAUUCUUCUUCCUCUGGACGUCGUUAUAGUGUGCAACACCUAAAAGGAAAGAAAAAAGAAAAGGUUGCUCUGAAUGACAUGGCUCAUGCUAUACUGAUUACGUCUAUCACUGAAUUCAACUUUGAUAAGUUGUUCUUGGCAAUUCUUUGUAACCUUAUGGUUUAGCUGAGUCAAAUUUUUGUUUGUCCACGAUUAUUCUCAGUGGCAUGAUGGCAUUUUUUUUAAAGA